rnacentral:rRNA from 1 species
UACGAAGGGGGCGAGCGUUGUUCGGAAUUACUGGGCGUAAAGGGCGCGCAGGCGGCUCUGAAAGUCAGAUGUGAAAGCCCCGGGCUUAACCUGGGAACUGCAUUUGAUACUCUAGAGCUUGAGUACGGGAGAGGAGAGUGGAAUUCCCAGUGUAGAGGUGAAAUGCGCAGAUAUCGGGAGGAACACCUAUGGCGAAGGCAGCUCGCUGGGACGUUACUGACGCUGAGACGCGAAAGCGUGGGGAGCAAACAGG